CACUAUGGCCACGCCACCCUGAACAUGCCCGAUCUCAUCUGGUCUCAGAAGCUAAGCAGGGUCGGGCCUGGUUAGUACUUGGAUGGGAGACCACCUAGGAAUAUCAGGCGCUAUAGGCG
rfam:Pteropus alecto contig54882, whole genome shotgun sequence.